rnacentral:rRNA from 1 species
UACGUAGGGGGCAAGCGUUGUCCGGAUUUAUUGGGCGUACAGCGCGUGUAGGCGGCCAGAUAGGUCUGCUGUGAAAACUCGAGGCUCAACCUCGAGCUGUCGGCGGAAACCAUCUGGCUAGAGUACGGAAGAGGCGAGUGGAAUUCCUGGUGUAGCGGUGAAAUGCGCAGAUAUCAGGAGGAACACCGGUGGCGAAGGCGGUUCUCUGGGCAGUACCUGACGCUGAGGAGCGAAAGUGUGGGGAGCGAACAGG